rnacentral:sRNA from 1 species
GCGAGGGGGCGGGGCGCAGAUCUGUUUCCCUCAGACUUCGUCCGCCCGGGGCCGCUAAGGGAGCGCAAGGUCAAUUUCGCCUUAGGCCCCGCCUCCAGCUCAGGUACUAGGGGGUCUAGACCCGAGGCUGCCCGGGCCGGAGGCAGCCUUGAGUCCCGAGACCAAACGUCGUUUCCCUCUCGGACCUCGGGCGCUGGGCCGCGCGCUGACCGACAGCCCCUGCUAGGCCCAGCAGGUCCCCUAGUGCCCCGCAGUCCCCCGCAGUCCCCCGCAGUCCCCCGAGACUCGCCGAGCGCCGUUGCUGAGCCCUGCAAAUAGCAGUUACCUGCUUCAGCCUAGAUCCUGCCAUGAAGUGGGCUGCUGCUCCCUGGCUCCCACUCUGAUCUGCUUUUCACUCUUGCCUUGUCUCCCAAUUAAUAGGGGGUGGCUGGCAGAGGAUUCUCACACCGACAAGGAAGGCAUGCUUUGCUUUUGUUUUUAACAGCAUCGUAUGCCCGUAGUGACAGCGGGUGAAUCCAACAAAGUUAAAAAGAAAAAGUACUGGAGUUCGCAUGAAGGUUGAUUGCCCUAGAGAAGUCGACACGCUCACACAGAUGGAAAUGAUUUCACCGAGUCCUGAAAAAUGUCGUUGUCAGCCCCACAUACAAACCAUGACUUGUGUUUUCUUUAAGAUGAGGAGUCUGGUCAAGAGGUCUGUGUAAUGAAAGAUGUUUGUAGAAUCCA